CACUCGCUCUCGACCUGGACCUGCUUGUUGCUCAAGGAGCCAAGGGAAUUCUUUGCACCAGACAGAAUCAGGAAAAAGAGACKCAGCAAGAACCUGAAUAUGCUGUUGUGUUCAGCUUUCAACUGCAUCAAACAUGCGAAGCAGUCUAAACAAUUUUUUUGUUAUUAUGAUUUUGUUUUUAUGGCUGUUGUCAUGAUGAAUGUAGAUCGGUUAACGAUUUGUGUUGUACUGGAAUCUAACACAUAGCUAACUAACAUCAGCUAACGGCAUCUUGACAGGGUUGUUUGCUAGUUGCUAUUAUAGCUAUAAACACAAUGUCUGAAAAUAUAAUUGUGAGGAUAAUAUUUAUUGAGKGACAUCAAUUCAAAUGCUGUCAAUAAGGCAACAUAGUAGGUGGCACGACUCUGGCGGGGCUUAGUUAGCUAGCUAUCUAACGUUAGAGUUCACGUGAAUCAACGUUCUAGCUAGCAUGGUAGCUAUCUAGCUAAAAUAAGCUAUCUAACUAGAAUCCACGUGGAUCCAUUUCAAGAGCGCAAGCUCACUAACAAGCUAAAUGUGACAGACCUAGUAUGUCUCCAAGUCAGCCUGGCUAUAACUAAUGUUAGCUAGCUACUUUAACCCCCCCAAAUAAAAUGUAAUUUCAAAUUGUGCCGUUUGCCUAGCUAGUGAUUCUCAAUAGCUAGUAGCUAUCUAGCAAGCUAGUGUGCGUCAAAUCGCAUUAAAUAACUUCCACAAACACUUGUUUCUAUAGCUGACUAGGUAAACACCAAUACUAUCCUGCUAUCUAGCUCAUACAUGCUAAGUAAAACUUGGGCCAGGUGUAAUUACAUUGAUCAUUGUGUCUACAUUGCUUGACAGCAAAGUUAUUUUAGAAGAUUCAGAUGAAAAGGUGGUCUUCAAAAGMGGUCACAAUGCCCUAGGGAAAGAUGAAGAAAUACAGCAGGUACAGAGGUAAGUGGCAAUGUUGAUGAUGCGAAAGCGUCUGCUGCACAUGAUCACACUGUGUAAGUAACAUCGUUGAGGCACUUGAUGAUGCGGAUCUUGAUCAGUGAUAUCACUGUGGUGCUGGAUAUGCAUGAUGACACCAGUUGUAUGUCAGAUGUAGCCCUACAUCCCAAUGAUAUAGCUGUGAUAGUGAAUGAAAUGUUUAUGUCGUUGAGGACACCCCUUGUGUUCCUGAACACAACUACAGGAGGCUGCUUAUGUCACCAGGUGAUGUUUCCACACCUCAGCUGAGCAGAGAGGAUCCAAAUCCAAUACCCACAAACCUACACUCUAUCCCAGUUUGCYCGCAAAUGUUUUCMAUACUUCUUUAUUGGCGUGAGUGCCAUUUACCAUUUGUUUUCACGUGCCACUUACCUGAAGUCCUCUGUGGGUUCCAGCUAACGUUGUUAAUCGCAUUUKAUCCAAUUUCACUUGUGUGUUCCAAGCCAGCCGCUGUUGAUUCCUUGCCUCUACCAGAGAGCUACCUGACUGACUACAAUGGAGCUGGAGGCUGCUGACAUCACCAGGCAAUGUUCUCACCCCUCAGCUUAGCAGAAAAUAAUCGUACUCGUAACUCUGAUUUGGACUGCCGGUUUCUGUCAAAACAYCCACACAGYGAUGAAAGUGACCUUGUGGAAAGCCUAGAUAUCAUCAGUCUUUGGGCAAAUCCUGAUGAGGUUAAAUCAUGUCCUCUGUCACUUCCUUCCUUUGUCUCUACUCUACAGCAYGUGGACAUUGCAGCCUUCCUGAUCAAGUUCAAAAGCAAGAGAGCUCUCAUAGUUUUUUAAAUGGUAGACAUGGUGGAUGUAUGCAUGUGUUAUAUAUUUCUAGUUGGGCAAAUAAGUAUCUGAUUUACAAUGAUGUAGUCUGCUCACUAUAAUUCCCAUUCAAUAUAUUGUGUCACCCAGUAAUGCCUCCUCCAUCAGGCGGAUGAUAUCCGUGCCCUGUUGAUGGACAAYAUGCCCCCAGAUGCAGAAAAGAGGGAUCACCAGCUCGGCUCAUCAAACUGUCCAAUCUCUGGAGGUGACAACAGACAUUGCUCAAUCAGCGCUUGAUUUGGCUCAUUUGCUAGYCAGCUGAACGGAUUAACGUGUUAAUACACAAAUCCUUUAGCUGUUGUAUUUUAACAUUUUGUGUGUAUUUCUUARAAGCUGGCAGGAUAUUGGGGGGCUGUUCUGAGGUUCAAACAGUUUCAUUGUUUAAUAUCUGCUCAUAAUUAUACUGAGCAAUUACAAUUACAAAAUAUAAACUCAACAUGGAACAAUU